AGUGAACGCUGGCGGUAGGCCUAACACAUGCAAGUCGAACGGCAGCACAGUAAGAGCUUGCUCUUACGGGUGGCGAGUGGCGGACGGGUGAGGAAUACAUCGGAAUCUACUUUUUCGUGGGGGAUAACGUAGGGAAACUUACGCUAAUACCGCAUACGACCUACGGGUGAAAGCAGGGGAUCUUCGGACCUUGCGCGAUUGAAUGAGCCGAUGUCGGAUUAGCUAGUUGGCGGGGUAAAGGCCCACCAAGGCGACGAUCCGUAGCUGGUCUGAGAGGAUGAUCAGCCACACUGGAACUGAGACACGGUCCAGACUCCUACGGGAAGCAGCAGUGGGGAAUAUUGGACAAUGGGGGCAAGCCUGAUCCAGCCAUACCGCGUGAGUGAAGAAGGCCUUCGGGUUGUAAAGCCCUUUUGUUGGGAAAGAAAAGCAGCAGGUUAAUACCCCGCUGUUCUGACGGUACCCAAAGAAUAAGCACCGGCUAACUUCGUG
rnacentral:rRNA from 1 species